CCUACGGGGGGCAGCAGUGGGGAAUAUUGGACAAUGGGCGAAAGCCUGAUCCAGCAACGCCGCGUGAGGGAUGACGGCCUUCGGGUUGUAAACCUCUUUCAGCAGGGACGAAGCGCAAGUGACGGUACCUGCAGAAGAAGCACCGGCCAACUACGUGCCAGCAGCCGCGGUAAUACGUAGGGUGCAAGCGUUGUCCGGAAUUAUUGGGCGUAAAGGGCUCGUAGGCGGUCCAUCGCGUCGGGAGUGAAAAGCUGGGGCUUAACCCCAGUCCUGCUUUCGAUACGGGUGGACUAGAGGUAGGCAGGGGAGAACGGAAUUCCUGGUGUAGCGGUGAAAUGCGCAGAUAUCAGGAGGAACACCGGUGGCGAAGGCGGUUCUCUGGGCCUUACCUGACGCUGAGGAGCGAAAGCGUGGGGAGCAAACAGGAUUAGAUACCCUAG
rnacentral:rRNA from 1 species